rnacentral:rRNA from 1 species
UACGUAGGGUGCAAGCGUUAAUCGGAAUUACUGGGCGUAAAGCGUGCGCAGGCGGCUAUGCAAGACAGAUGUGAAAUCCCCGGGCUCAACCUGGGAACUGCAUCUGUGACUGCAUCGCUGGAGUGCGGCAGAGGGGGAUGGAAUUCCGCGUGUAGCAGUGAAAUGCGUAGAUAUGCGGAGGAACACCGAUGGCGAAGGCAGCUUGCUGGGACGGUACUGACGCUGAGACGCGAAAGCGUGGGGAGCAAACAGG